AUAUUGCGUGAGUKAAGAAGGCCUUCGGGUUGUAAAGCUCUUUUGUUGGGAAAGAAAUCCUGCCGGUUAAUACCCGGUAGGGAUGACGGUACCCAAAGAAUAAGCWCCGGCUAACUUCGUGCCAGCUGCCGCGGUAAUACGAAGGGUGCAAGCKUUACUCGGAAUUACUGGGCGUAAAGCGUGCGUAGGUGGUUUGUUAA
rnacentral:rRNA from 1 species